UAACAAGGAUUCCCCUAGUAACGGCGAGUGAAGCGGGAUGAGCUCAAAUUUGAAAGCUGGCACCUUUGGUGUCCGCAUUGUAAUCUCGAGAAGUAGUUUCUGUGCCGGACCAUGUACAAGUUCCUUGGAAUAGGACAUCAGAGAGGGUGAGAAUCCCGUACUUGACAUGGACCCCGGUGCUUUGUGAUCUGCUCUCUAUGAGUCGAGUUGUUUGGGAAUGCAGCUCAAAAUGGGUGGUAAAUUCCAUCUAAAGCUAAAUAUUGGGGAGAGACCGAUAGCGAACAAGUACCGUGAGGGAAAGAUGAAAAGCACUUUGGAAAGAGAGUUAAACAGUACGUGAAAUUGUCAAAAGGGAAGCGCUUGAGGUUAGACAUGCAUGCAGUAUUCAACCUUUCUUUUGGGAUUGGCGUAUUUGCUGUUGUGCAGGCCAGCAUCGGUUUUGUCUGCUGGAUAAUAGUAGGAGAAAUGUGGCAUCUUCGGAUGUGUUAUAGUCUCGUAUUGGAUACAGUGGAUGGGACCGAGGACCGCAGUGUUCCGUAAGGCGGCUCUUCGGAGACCUUCGCACUUAGGAUGCUGGCGUAAU
rnacentral:rRNA from 1 species